UAAGAGCUUGCUCUUAUGAAGUUAGCGGCGGACGGGUGAGUAACACGUGGGUAACCUGCCCAUAAGACUGGGAUAACUCCGGGAAACCGGGGCUAAUACCGGAUAACAUUUUGAACUGCAUGGUUCGAAAUUGAAAGGCGGCUUCGGCUGUCACUUAUGGAUGGACCCGCGUCGCAUUAGCUAGUUGGUGAGGUAACGGCUCACCAAGGCAACGAUGCGUAGCCGACCUGAGAGGGUGAUCGGCCACACUGGGACUGAGACACGGCCCAGACUCCUACGGGAGGCAGCAGUAGGGAAUCUUCCGCAAUGGACGAAAGUCUGACGGAGCAACGCCGCGUGAGUGAUGAAGGCUUUCGGGUCGUAAAACUCUGUUGUUAGGGAAGAACAAGUGCUAGUUGAAUAAGCUGGCACCUUGACGGUACCUAACCAGAAAGCCACGGCUAACUACGUGCCAGCAGCCGCGGUAAUACGUAGGUGGCAAGCGUUAUCCGGAAUUAUUGGGCGUAGAGCGCGCGCAGGUGGUUUCUUAAGUCUGAUGUGAAAGCCCACGGCUCAACCGUGGGAGGGUCAUUGGAAACUGGGAGACUUGAGUGCAGAAGAGGAAAGUGGAAUUCCAUGUGUAGCGGUGAAAUGCGUAGAGAUAUGGAGGAACACCAGUGGCGAAGGCGACUUUCUGGU
rnacentral:rRNA from 1 species